GGUUUGCAUCACAUAAAAACUUGAAGUAUGUAUGUGCUGUGCAAACACACAUCUUUGAUUAUCUCCUAUUUAUAAGACCGUAAGAGAAUCUGGUUCAGUUUUCACCCUCUUACCUUCUAUAUUAGAGCACUUCUUUUUGAAUUAUAGCAGAUUUUGCAGCAGGAAUUUGCUGAUAGCUCCUGCAGAAGUUCUUCAAAAGUGAAUAUAUAUAUACAUAGUGUUAAGAUUAAAGAAAACAAACCUAACAAAAAACCCAAGUAAAAAAGGCCUGCCAAAACCGACACCAAAAACCAAGCCCCAAAACACCACCGCCAAAAAAAACCCCAACAUAAAAAAUACUCUCUGAAGUAAAGUAAAUGCUCUUACCAUUUGUCUGUGGAGUCAUGGGUAAGUACACAUUCUGGUCCAGUUAAUGGUCUCUAACAAUGCUGAAUCUCUUGUCAAUAAAUUUUACAUGGUCUCUGAUCUAGUAGCUGUGCCCUAAGAAUGCUUUUACCAUUGAGUCCUUGACAUAGAUAAAGGGACUGGUGGGUUUUUUGGGAUUGGUACCAAAGUUUCAGGGUCUGAAUGUGCGUAGGACAGUGCAUUUGGGAAUGAGGAAAUCUUGCUGGCAAACCCCAUGUUUAUGGAUCUCAUGAAUGAAUUGACAUACUAGAUUUGGUGAGGUACUUUGCAUGACUGGAGUAAUGCAAUGUAAGUGUACAACCCCUGUCAAGAGAGAAGGGGAAGAAGAGGGGCGCCCCACAUACAUUGGUUCUGAAGUCAUUAAUGUAGGAGAUAGAACUUGUCAUAAGCCUAGGUGGUGACAAGAGGGAGACAAAAUUCAGAGGGGUCUGCUUUGUGCCUUAAAAUCAGGAGAAUCAAGUGGGGAAAAACAUUAAAGAGCAUGUAGAGUAUCCACAUAGAAAGCAAAAUACUCAAUUGUAAAAGAGUAAUUUGGGGGCUGUCUGAGAAAGGCUUGGAUGACAUAGUUCUUGAUAACAUGCUGAUGGUGGCAUCACCUACAAAGACUCAGAGCUCUAACUUUCUCAUUAAUCAGACAUUAAUUUGCUGAGAUUUUGAAGGGUGAAAGUAUCUCGUGUGAGAGGAACCUUAAAAAGAUAGAAUUCACAAUGACAGGAUAAAAACCGUGAGGAAUAACCCAAGGUUUCAAGUAAGCCAAUAAAAUAAAUGUGAUUUGUUUAUUUUUCUUACUGUGAUUCAGUGGGGUUUGUUGCUGCUUUAACUUCUAAAUUAUUCAUGUAUUUCUUGUAUUCUUUCUGAUAGUAAGGAGUUGCAGGUUCAAAGAAAUUUCUACUUGCAGAUUAAUAUGACUUCUCCUUCUUCUGUGGUUGGUUAUGAAACUGUCCAUCAUAACCCUUCAGAUAAUACUCGGAUCAUAAUGAGGCUUUAGUUCUUAUUCUGUUAAGAUUCUUGUCACUGCCUCAGUCCUUUGAAAGAAGAACUAUUCCAUGCUGGUGUCUCCAAAUCAGUAAAGUCCAAAUAGUCUGUCCUGGAAGGCAUAUCAAUUCAGACAAAAAAUAAUUGCUAUUGAGAUGCGUAAGCUGGAGAAUUGAAUAAAGCAUCUCACAAAAUGCUGGAAGUGCCCGUUUUUCAGGACCUCUGGUCCUAAAAACUGUAGACCCCAGCUCUGAGAAGAUGCUUUGCAUAAAUUCUGCUUGAAGAAUGACGUUCCGACCAGUGUAAUUGUUGUAGUGAGCAGAUGACCAGCCUGCCCUGUGAACUUGCAGUGGACUUUUGUCUGUAACUGUAGGGAAGAACUUGUGAUGGAAGCAGGGAGAUCGACACAAAUGAUUACUGCCUCAUGCAAAAGUGUUAGUUAAGGAACAGUGAAAAAAAUUGUAGUAAAUUCCCCCUUAUGCAGAUUGUUGAUAAAAUACGAUUUAAUUUGUUAGGCACUUCCCCUACCAGUUCUUAGUGGAGAAAAGUGUUGCACAUUCAUAAAUGCUCUCCUAAAUUCAUGUGAGGUUGCGAAAUAAAACUCUUAUUUUCUGCCAACAAGAAAGUAGAUUCCAUAAACUACUUCAGUGAGCAAUCAAGCUCUUACCUGAGGAGAAAUAUAUAUAUAUAUGUAACAAAAUAUAAAUAGAAUAAAUACUUUGGUUUGUGUUUGGUUGGGGAGGGAAGGCCUGUGUUGUUUUUUGUUGUUUUGGGGUUUUUUUUAAUUAUAUAUUCUUAAAUUUAUCAAUAUGAACUUCCCUUUCACUACAUGUUUAUACAUGAGGAGAGGGGGAAGGAACCCCAUCCUCCUGCCCCCUCUGAAUUUCUCUUACCUUUUGUUCCUUAGCUUUUCAAGCAGGCAUUUAUCAUUCAGGACAGUACCAGGCUUAUAAUUAUAAAUCAUAUGAUAAAAUUAUAUCAUAUGAUCCCUGGCGGUGUUCAAGGCCAGGCUGGACAGAGCCUUGGGCAACAUGGUCUAGUGUGAGGUGUCCCUGCCUAUGGCAGGGGGUUGGAACUAGAUGAUGUUAAGGUCCUUUCCAACCCAAACCAUUCUGUGAUUGGGUCUUUUUCCUUGAAUUCUGCUUUCAAUACUUCUAGACCUGGUCUUGCCCAGCUUUGGUAGUCAUUGCUUCCUCACCUGCCCAAAAGCCUCUGUCCAAAAUAUUCCUAAAUUGGCUUAGAAUCCUGUCAUACAGAAACUGCAGUUAAACUUCAGCUCUGUCAGCAAACCAACAGUACCACUCACAUGUCCCGUUUAUUCGGCUGCCUGCUGUUCCCAGCCAAAACCAGUGGUGUUGGGUACAUCCCGUGCUGUACUUUGCUUUGCACAAGCAGCACAGUAAAAUGCUGCUCUGGGACACGUGCUCUGGUAGGCCCAGCUCCCAGUCCGAGGUGUGCUCACCAAAGCAGCUUGUCCUUUUCCACAGAUCAAACCGGCACGAUGUCCUGCUGCAUUCCCGCAAUA
rnacentral:lncRNA from 1 species